AGCAGUAGCCACGGGAAAACGGAGGGGGCUAGCGUUGUUCGGAAUUACUGGGCGUAAAGCGCACGUAGGCGGCUUGGCAAGUUAGAGGUGAAAGCCUGGAGCUCAACUCCAGAAUUGCCUUUAAGACUGCCGAGCUAGCAGGUGAGAGAGGUAAGUGGAAUUCCGAGUGUAGAGGUGAAAUUCGUAGAUAUUCGGAAGAGCACCAGUGGCGAAGGCGGCUUACUGGCUCAUACUGGACGCUGAGGUGCGAAAGCGUGGGGAGCAAACAGGAUUAGAUACCCCUGUAGUCCCUGUCUCUUAUAC
rnacentral:rRNA from 1 species